AAUUAUAUAAAUUUAUGAAUCUAAGAUCAUUUUAUUCAUACCAGUGAGAGGACUUGAAGAUUGAUAUCUCAAAUUUUAAAACUCCGAACAACCUUACUCAGCUGAAAAUCUUAAAACUCAAACUUAUCCAACUGAAAACUUCUGAUUCAAGACAUGGAUGUAGAUAAGAUUAUAAGCAAGAUUCGGAAUGGGGACUUUAAAGAUGUGAAACGAUUUAUAAAAAAAAAUCCUGAAACUGUAAGUCAACAGGAAAAAUUCAGAUGGCCUUACCUUACUCAUGGCUGCCUGUGAACAAGGCAAUAAAGAGUUAAUAACCUUAUUGACAAAAUCUGGCGCUGAUCUCAACAUCGGUGACAAAGACAAGAAGUGGACAGCAUUGCAUUAUGCAGUGGUGAAGUAAGGCUUGAAUUAACUAAAAUCUACAGAUCUGCUUUUGUUUCAAAAUUUCUUGCAAUUCCAGACAAAUUGAAUAUCCAAAGAUACCAUAAUAGUGGCAGUGUGACACGAUAACAACAUGAUAGUAGUAACCAAAUAACAUCUUUUUCUCAUUUUCUCCAUGAAUCCUCUUCAUUGAAUCACAAAAAUCUUUUUCAUCAUUUCUUGCCAUAACAGAUUCUUUUUGUUUUGGAGAUAUUCUUUGAGAUCCAACAGUUCUUAAGAUUGACGCUGUGUGAUUCAGUGUCCUCUCUUGAUAUUGAUUUUGGAGAAAUCGAUCAAUUUUUCUCCAAAGAAAAUGUUAUUUGAGAUCUAAAACAAGAAGAAAGAUCCUAUAGCUUGUUAUGGCAGUAAAUAAUAUGUAAAUAGAUUGAAAUGCAAUAGAUCGAUACUAGGG